UACAGAGGUCCCAAGCGUUGUUCGGAUUCACUGGGCGUAAAGGGUGCGUAGGCGGUCAGGUAAGUUUGACGUGAAAUCUCCGGGCCUAACCCGGAAACUGCGUUGAAUACUAUCUGACUAGAGGAAUGGAGGGGAGACUGGAAUACUUGGUGUAGCAGUGAAAUGCGUAGAUAUCAAGUGGAACACCAGUGGCGAAGGCGAGUCUCUGGACAUUUCCUGACGCUGAGGCACGAAAGCCAGGGGAGCAAACGGG
rnacentral:rRNA from 1 species